ACCUCGCCUGGUAUACAGGAGCCUCGUGGUUUCGAUCCUGACCCCGAUUCCACGUUGGGCUAGGGAGAUGUUAACUACCUCGCCUGGUAUACAGGAGCCUCGUGGUUUAGAUCCUGACCGCGAUUCCAUGUUGGGCUAGGGAGAUGUUAACGACCUCGCCUGGUAUACAGGAGGUCGUGGCUUCAAUCCUGACCCCGAUUCCACGUUGGGCUAGGGAGAUGUUAACUACCUUGCCUGGUAUACAGGAGCCUCGUGGUUUCGAUCCUGACCCCGAUGCAACGUUGGGCUAGGGAGAUGUUAACUACCUCGCCUGUUAACAGGAGGUCGUGGCUUAGAUCCUGACCCCGAUUCCACGUUGGGCUAGGGAGAUGUUAACGACCUCGCCUGGUAUACAGGAGGUCGUGGCUUAGAUCCUGACCCCGAUUCCACGUUGGGCUAGGGAGAUGUUAACUACCUCGCCUGGUAUACAGGAGCCUCGUGGUUUAGAUCCUGACCCCGAUGCCCCGUUCGGCUAGGGAGAUGUUAACUACCUCGCCUGGUAUACAGGAGCCUCGUGGCUUCGAUCCUGACCCCGAUGCAACGUUGGGCUAGGGAGAUGUUAACUACCUCGCCUGGUAUACAGGAGCCUCGUGGCUUAGAUCCUGACCCCGAUUCCACGUUGGGCUAGGGAGAUGUUAACUACCUCGCCUGGUAUACAGGAGCCUCGUGGCUUAGAUCCUGACCCCGAUUCCACGUUGGGCUAGGGAGAUGUUAACUACCUCGCCUGGUAUACAGGAGCCUCGUGGCUUAGAUCCUGACCCCGAUUCCACGUUGGGCUAGGGAGAUGUUAACUACCUCGCCUGGUUGCACAGGAGGGUCGGUGGCUAGGAGAUGGAACCCGCGACCUCCUGUAUAUACCACCUUGCAAUAGAUGUCCAGCUCGACUUAUCUUAAAAAGCAAAAGGCCUUGGCACGUGGUAGAUUACAGGGGGGGGGGGGGUGGGGGGCUCCUCUACCUACGAACUUUCGACUUGACGGACUUGGAGAGAGCUCUACGUCCAGCUGCCUGUUGGGACCCGGCAGUCGUGAGUUCAACUGCCGUGCAAUUGAUGGUGGUGGUGGCGUCUACAUCUGUAGAACGACCAAUCGGUGGCGGUGUCUACAUCUGUAGAACGACCAAUCGGUGGGGUCUACAUCUGUAGAACGUGACCAAUCGGUGGUGGCGUCUACAUCUGUAGAACGUGACCAAUCGGUGGUGGCGUCUACAUCUGUAGAACGUGACCAAUCGGUGGGGUCUACAUCUGUAGGUCGUGACCAAUCGGUGGUGACGGUGUCUACAUCUGUAGGUCGUGACCAAUCGGUGGCGGCGUCUACAUCUGUAGGUCGUGACCAAUCGGUGGUGACGUCUACAUUUGUAGGUCGUGACCAAUCGGUGGCGGCGUCUACAUCUGUAGGUCGUGACCAAUCGGUAGCGGCGUCUACAUCUGUAGAUCGUGACCAAUCGGUGGUGGUGUCUACAUCUGUAGGUCGUGACCAAUCGGUGGUGGUGUCUACAUCUGUAGAACGUGACCAAUCGGUGGUGGCGUCUACAUCUGUAGGUCGUGACCAAUCGGUGGUGGCGUCUACAUCUGUAGGACGACCAAUCGGUGGCGGCGUCUACAUCUGUAGAACGACCAAUCGGUGGCGGCGUCUACAUCUGUAGAACGACCAAUCGGUGGCGGUGUCUACAUCUGUAGAACGUGACCAAUCGGUGGCGGUGUCUACAUCUGUAGGUCGUGACCAAUCGGUGGGGUCUACAUCUGUAGGUCGUGACCAAUCGGUGGGGUCUACAUCUGUAGAACGUGACCAAUCAGUGGUGGUGUCUACAUCUGUAGGUCGUGACCAAUCAGUGACGUCUACAUCUGUCGGUCGUGACCAAUCGGUGGUGACGUCUACAUUUGUAGGUCGUGACCAAUCGGUGGCGGCGUCUACAUCUGUAGGUCGUGACCAAUCGGUGGCGGCGUCUACAUCUGUAGGUCGUGACCAAUCGGUGGCGACGUCUACAUCUGUAGGUCGUGACCAAUCGGUGGCGACGUCUACAUCUGUAGGUCGUGACCAAUCGGUGGUGACGUCUACAUCUGUAGGUCGUGACCAAUCGGUGGUGACGUCUACAUCUGUAGGUCGUGACCAAUCGGUGAUGGCGUCUACAUCUGUAGGUCGUGACCAAUCGGUGGCGGCGUCUACAUCUGUAGGACGACCAAUCGGUGGCGGCGUCUACAUCUGUAGGACGACCAAUCGGUGGCGGCGUCUACAUCUGUAGAACGACCAAUCGGUGGCGGCGUCUACAUCUGUAGAACGACCAAUCGGUGGCGGCGUCUACAUCUGUAGAACGACCAAUCGGUGGCGGCGUCUACAUCUGUAGAACGACCAAUCGGUGGCGGCGUCUACAUCUGUAGAACGACCAAUCGGUGGCGGCGUCUACAUCUGUAGAACGACCAAUCAGUGGUGGCGGCGUCUCCAUCUGCUGGAGAUUCUGCAACUCUUUAAAGCCAUUCCCCCCCCCACACCGCGUUUAGCGUACAACGCCGUACCCGACUGGUUUUGGACCGACCUUGACGACCACAGACCUCCUGAAACCCAACUCUUUCGAGAAUUAGAGGAAUCCCUGUAAUGAAAAUAAACCAAAAACCAUCCUUCCUCCCCUCCACCCCCCUAUCCUUAGAUAGAUCCUUUCUCUUUCCCACCUAAACCACCAAAUAGCCACGGGAACAAGGGGGCGGCGGGUGGUAGAUAUGGUUGUUGGUUGUGGCAGGGGGGUGUGGUGUGUGUGUGUGUUUUUUUUAGACCCGGGCAGAACGGUGUUGUGGGUCUGUCUCUCUCUCUGUGUGUGUGCGCGUGAACCAAAAUCUGUGCGGGUGGUGCAAAUCGUCACGCUCAGCAGAAGAAGAAGAUGAUGAUGAUGAAUGUACGGGUGGUAGUUUUUAUUACCUCACUUUUUUGUUGUUAAAUUUUUCAGACCAAUUCGUGUUUGAUCUCUUGUCCUACCUCACGUCGUAAUGACGACAACGGUGAAUUAACGUCGCUUUUUUUUUUAGAGAGAGAUUGUUAAGCUUUUAUUUUUUCUGAGGUCGUGUUUUUUUUAAAAAAAUAUAAAUCGUUUUUCUUUUUAAAGUUUUGGCAAACUUUUGAGUCGUUACAGGUGACGUUGUUGUUGACGUUGUUGUUGGGUUUGCUUUGUUUUAAAUCGUCACGUUUUGUUGAAAUGGUUUUUGGUUCUGAACGAGUUGGGGGUGGGGGGCGCGGGGUUGUUCGCGAGGCUUAAAAUUUGAGGUUUAAACCGCGCGCAAAAUUGGCGGCCGUUUUUAAUCUCCCUGCGAAAAAAAAUAUUUUUUCGGUAAACUUUGAAAACUUUUAAAAAUCAAUUUUCCAGCACGAUGUUUUCCUCACGGAACUUUUUAAAAAUAAAUAAAUCUGGACGCCUUAUUUUUGUUUUUUUACGUGAUGAGGAAUCGCAAUUUUUUUAAGGGUGGGGGGGGAUAUUCUGAGGUAAUUAAUAUGGCAGCUAUUCGGAUUCCGUGAAUGUAUAAUUGUCAUCGUAAUUACUUGAAUUGUCGUUCUUAAAAUUGGGCAAAAUUCGUUGAUCUCAUUGCGUUGUGGGGCGAAACGAGGAGGGGGAAAAAACAAAUUCGGCGGCCAUUUUUUUUGACUGCCUCAAGAAAUUUUCCCACCAAAAAAAAACGUGGCGGUCGCCAUUUUGUGGAGGGGGGGAGAGGGAGGGGCUCGGGGGCGUGGUAACCCCUCCCACCCUCCCCCCCUCCCCCCAUCGGCUCGUGAGGUCAAAGGUCAAGUCGAGGUCUGGUGCGCCCUCCCCCCCCCCAUUCUCGCUCCUGCCAAAAAUUAUCAGAACAAAAACCAAU